rnacentral:rRNA from 1 species
GACAGAGGGUGCAAACGUUGUUCGGAAUUACUGGGCGUAAAGCGAGUGUAGGCGGUGUGGUAAGUCGGAUGUGAAAGCCCCGGGCUCAACCCGGGAAGUGCACUCGAUACUGCCACGCUAGAGUAUCGGAGAGGUUGGUGGAAUUCUCGGUGUAGAGGUGAAAUUCGUAGAUAUCGAGAGGAACACCGGUGGCGAAGGCGGCCAACUGGACGAAUACUGACGCUGAGACUCGAAAGCCAGGGGAGCAAACGGG